ensembl:lncRNA
AAAAAAAAAGAAGAAAAUAUAUAUAUAUAUGUAAGAGCUUCAAAAUACGUGAAAUAAAAAUUGACAGAAAUGGACAGAUCCACCGUUGUGGUUUGAGAUUUUAAUACCUUCGUCUCAACUGUUGAUAGAACAAUGAGAUAAAAAUAAACCAACAGCAAACCAGUAAAGACGUAAGAAGAUCUCAAACACACUAUUAACCACCUUGACCUAAUUGACGUUUUGGACCCUGCACCCAGUUUCAGAACACGCCUUCUUUUCACCAAGAUAGACCUCCUGCUGGGCCAUCCGGCAGGUCUCCCUACAUUUAACAGGACUGCAGCCAUACCAGGAAAACAAAAGACUUAGACUAAGUAUGUUUCAGAAAUAAACAGCAGAGGAAGGAUAACAAUGACUCUUUCGCAAUUAAAGCACUUCUAAGUAAUCCGUGGGUAAAAGAAGAAACCAGGAGUUCCUGCUGUGGCACACAGGGUUAAAGAUCCAGCAUUGCCUCAGCUGUGGCCCAGGUGGCAUUGCAGCCCAGAUGCAUUCCCAAGCCUGGGAACUUCCAUAUGUCUCGGGUGCGGCCAAAAAAAAAGAAGAAGAAAACACAGAGGGAAAUAGAAAAUAUCUUGAAUUAAGAGAAAAUGAAAACCACAGUGUGUCAAAGUUUGACUGGCACCUAAAGCGGUGCCAAAGGAGGUGUGUCUCUGAAACCCUUUGAAAAGGGAUGUUCGGCAUUCAGUGCUUCCAGCCCUCUGGUUAGGACCGAUCUUUCUCUUGCCCUGUGCUCGGUAUAUUUGCCUCGAUAGCAGUAGCAACUGUUGGACGCACCCCUCUGCUCACCUAUCGGUCCCUUCCUUUCUAAACCUUAAGAGCCCUUUAAGGACAAGUGCUGCUGUUGCUGGCACUGUUUUGUCUCUCGUUUCUAGCACAAUGCAUGACACUUUGUGGGGUCUCUGUGAGCUCUGCACGGAAGCUCGCGAGUGGAGCGGAUGCGCCCGAGCGCCGGGCGAGGGUUCACAGACUGAGCAUCCACAGCCCCACCUUAGAGCUGAGAAAGCAGCCGCCCGGCCGGGGUCGGUGGAGCCAGCGACCAACCCACGUUCCCGUUGGUCCUCAGACGUUUUCCUUCCAGCCCUGAGGUGCUGACAGAAACCUCACCGGGGGUGGUGAGACCCGUCUUCCAGCCGGAGGGCAGGAUUUAUUCCUGAGUCAAACGGGAAGCCUCAACCGGCUGUCAAAAGCAUCGAGUCGUCUGUGGGCUCUGCAGGUUGGGCCAGGGGCCCCUUCCACAAAGGCCCUGGGAGGACAGGGCUGACGGCUCUCCUGCCGGGGGGCCCCCCGCCUUUCCCAGGGCCCACUCAGUCUGCAGAAAGUGCUGGAACUUGAGGCCUCAGGCGCGGCCCCACGGGGAGGGGGCGGGGGCCCUGCACCACGAGAGCCUCUCGUUUCUCUAUUUUCUACCUCGGUUUCAGUUCUUAACUGGCGUUUGUUUCCCCUUUGUCUCUGGUUCAUCUUCCUUUUCCUGUUUGGCUCUAAGCAGAGCCUCAGCGUCACGUCGCUGCCUCCCCGGGGUCCGUGGCCCUCUGGUCAGCGGGCCCAGUGGGAUCCACGACCCACCGCCUCGCUGCUCCGUGCCGCAGCCACGCAGCCAUGGCCACCGUUGCACGCAUGGGGAGACCAGCUGUCACACCGCAGGUCGUGCGGAGCCCGCGCGCGCUCAUCUGCGGGUCUGGCCGCCACACCGACCGGGGUCCCUCGAUGGCUGUUGUCUUUAGGCACUUUGUGUGCGUGUGGAAAGCGCCGCCUCAGAAGUCCAGGUGGCAGAGGGGGCUCUGAACCAUGUGAGGGGGUUGGCAUUCGGCUCAGAGGUGCUCCGAUGGGUCCUGGGUUCUCUCUGGGAAUGGCCUGAAGACACUCGAGCGGUUUUCUCUCAAUACUGGGCAGGAGGGAAGAAGUGGGGUACGCUUUGUAGUGGAAACUUCAUGGGCCGUAACAGCAGGACCCCAAACGUCUGCUUUAGACACCUGUGGCUGACUUUGGGCCACCGGUCACUUAGACUGUUGUGGUUUCACGUGCGUGUGGGCACCAGCCUGUUCGCGUCCUGCACAUGUAACUUCUAAAAGUGAGAUUGCGUUUUAGACAUGCCUCUCCCUGCCCUGCAGCUCCAUGAAAGACAAUGGGCCACAGAGCAGGCUUUCAUCCCCUGGAAUCGGGGGCAUUUGCCUGGUCCACUCCUUGCAGCUUUGCAUCUUAGCACAGAAUUGUCAUCCUGCUCCUUAAAGUUACUUCCCAGUUCCCACACUGCAGUUUGACCCAUUCCCUUAUCUGAUGCUUCCAGCCUUGUUGGGUGGGUCAGCUCAGGGAGGGGAUACUGGUGUCCUGUGGAGGAGGAGGCCUGGCCUCUGACGGGCCAUGGCGCUUGCUCAGGGUUGCUUAGGAGGAGAAGCUUCCAGGACAUGGGCCAGGCUCUCUGGGAGUGCCUUGCAAUGCCUUGUGAAAGUGGAUGGUGCGGGGAGUAGGGCUGGUGCCAUGCUCCUGGUCAGCGGGGGAGCUCUGGGGAGGGCAGUGCUCCCGCCUCAGAGCGCAGCCUUGGCCAGGUGCUGGAGUCACUGCCUCCAGGCCCAGCGCUCAUAGAGCCAGGGCAGGUGCUGUGUUUACAGUUGGCUCUGUUCCUGCUCCCUUGCGGCCAUGUUUCCCAUCAUUUUAGUCAUUUUCCUUGAGCCUUAGAAGGUUUGUGGGUGGAGCUGUGGAAAACAAGACUUUCCAUUUCAAAGGCUUGUUACCUUCCAAAGUGGGCAGGAACCAGUCAUCUUCAGCUGAAAGUUACACCGUGAAAAGCACAGUGUAUCCUGUCAGCUGCCAUUGCAGAAAAUACUGUCAGAAGUAAGCGAGGAGGAAGCAAAGCAGGUGUCAAAAAUCCUUGAAUUAAAAGUGUGGAAAUCUUGGAGAGCCCAUUGUGGCUCAGUGGUUGGUGACCCCGACUCGCAUCCAUGAGGACACGGGUUCGAUCCCUGGCUUCUCUCAGUGGGUUAAGGAUCUGGUGUUGCCGUGAUCUGUGGUAUAGGUUGCAUAUGCAGCUCGGAUCCCACGUUGCUGUGGCUCUGGAGUAGGCGGUCGGCUACAGCUCCGAUUCGACCCCUGGCCUGGGAACCUCCGUAUGCCACGGGU